GGCCGAGUGGCGCAAUGGAUAGCGCAUCGGAAUCCGGAUCCGGAGGUUGCGGGUUCAAGUCCCGUCUCGGUCG